rnacentral:rRNA from 1 species
CACGUAGGCACCAAGCGUUGUCCGGAUUUAUUGGGCCUAAAGCAUCCGUAGCCGGUUCUACGAGUCUUCCGUUAAAUCCAACUGCUUAACAGGUGGGCUGCGGAAGAUACUAUAGAGCUAGGAGGCGGGAGAGGCAAGCGGUACUCGAUGGGUAGGGGUAAAAUCCGUUGAUCCAUUGAAGACCACCAGUGGCGAAGGCGGCUUGCCAGAACGCGCUCGACGGUGAGGGAUGAAAGCUGGGGGAGCAAACCGG